rnacentral:rRNA from 1 species
AGAACGAACGCUGGCGGCGCGUCUUAAGCAUGCAAGUCGAACGGCAAGAGGUAGCAAUACCUCCUAGAGUGGCGGACUGGUGAGUAACACGUGGGUGACAUACCCUUCAGAUGGGGAUAGCUAUUAGAAAUAGUAGAUAAUACCGAAUACGAGCACAGGGGUUAGAGAUCUGUGAGGAAAGGAGCUAAGGCUCCGCUGAAGGAAUGGCCUGCGGCCCAUUAGCUAGUUGGUGAGGUAAGAGCCCACCAAGGCGAUGAUGGGUAUCCGGCCUUAGAGGGUGAACGGACACAUUGGGACUGAGAUACGGCCCAGACUCCUACGGGAGGCAGCAGCUAAGAAUAUUCCGCAAUGGACGAAAGUCUGGCGGAGCGACGCCGCCGUGGAUGAAGAAGGCCGGAAGGUUGUAAAAUCCUUUUGAAACUGAGGAAUAAGCGUUGUAGGGAAUGACAGCGUGGUGACAGUAGGUUUUGAAUAAGCAACGGCUAAUUACGUGCCAGCCGCCGC